rnacentral:rRNA from 1 species
GAUCCUGGCUCAGAAUCAACGCUGGCGGCGUGCCUCAGACAUGCAAGUCGAACGAUUAAAGCUCCCUUCGGGGAGUGCAUGGAGUGGCGCACGGGUGAGUAACACGUAAGUAAUCUACCCUCGAGUGGGGAAUAACAUCGGGAAACCGAUGCUAAUACCGCAUAAUGCAGCGGCACCGCAAGGUGACAGUUGCUAAAGAUUUAUCGCUUGAGGAGGAGCUUGCGGCAGAUUAGCUAGUUGGUAAGGUAAUGGCUUACCAAGGCUACGAUCUGUAACCGGUCUUAGAGGACGGUCGGUCACACUGACACUGAAUAACGGGUCAGACUCCUACGGGAGGCAGCAGUCGGGAAUUUUGGGCAAUGGGCGAAAGCCUGACCCAGCAACGCCGCGUGAAGGAUGAAGUAUUUCGGUAUGUAAACUUCGAAAGAAUGGGAAGAAUAAAUGACGGUACCAUUUAUAAGCUCCGGCUAACUACGUGCCAGCAGCCGCGGUAAUACGUAGGGAGCAAGCGUUGUUCGGAUUUACUGGGCGUAAAGGGCGCGUAGGCGGCGCGGUAAGUCACUUGUGAAAUCUCUGAGCUUAACUCAGAACGGCCAAGUGAUACUGCAGUGCUAGAGUGUAGAAGGGGCAAUCGGAAUUCUUGGUGUAGCGGUGAAAUGCGUAGAUAUCAAGAGGAACACCUGAGGUGAAGACGGGUUGCUGUCCUAACACUGACGCUGAGGCGCGAAAGCCAGGGGAGC